GGUCAGCUCACUUUACUUGGCUUAAAUUAGGAAUUAUUUAUUUAUUUUAUUUACAAUAUUUAUAUUCUGCCCUUCUCACCCCGAAGUGGACUCAGGGCGGAUUACAAUGAAAACAUAUAUGGCAAACAUUCAGUGCCAACUGACAAACAACAUAUAUAGACAGACACAGAGGCAUUUAACAUUUUUUUCCAGCUUCACGAUUCUGGCCACAGGAGGAGCUGUUGCUUCACUGUCCACUAGUGGCUGUACUUCCUCAUUCCUUUCCUCGUGUUUUGCUGGCAGUUUUAUGAUGUUGUAAAUUAGUUAAAUUAGCCUCCCACAUUAAGCAUACCUAAAUUUCCCUAAUUGACAGAUGCAACUGUCUUUCGGGGCUGCAUAGGUCAACAGCAAGCCGGGCUAUUUAAUGGUCGGGGGCUUAACCCGACCUGGGCUUCGAACUCAUGACCUCUCGGUCAGUAGUGAUUUAUUGCAGCUGGUUACUAGCCAGCUGCGCCACAGCCCGGCCUGAAUUUUCAGAAGCACUAAUGCAAUGGAAAAAUUUUGAAAUGAAAAUGUUCAUCAUGACAGUCCUUCUAACCCAGUAGUUUUGAACUUCAGCUCCCACAAUUUCUAACAGGUGGGACGCUACUUGAGAUUUCAGGAGCUGAAGUCCAAAACAAAUGGAGGACCAAAGGCUGCAUUGAUCCAUAGCAAGAAACCUAUUUUAGCAGUUUUUAUCUAAACCAGGAAGUCUUUUUGCAAAGCUAAUGGAUCAUAGGUGCCAUUUCAGAUCAAAGGUUCAUCUACAAUGUAGAAUGAAUGCAGUUUGACACCUCUGUAGUUGCCCUGUCUCAAUGCUAUGGAGGUGGUAGUUUUACAAAGUCUUACAACUUACAAGGCCUUUAGCCUUUUCUGCCGAUAGAUUCUGGUGCCUCAACAAACUGUGACUCCCAUGAUUCAACAACAUUUAACUCGGGCAAUUAAAGUGGUGGCAAACUGCAUUAAUUCUCCAGUGUAACUGUGGUGAACAAGGGGACUCCUUGUUGUUGUUAUGUGCCUUCAAUUCAUUUCUGACAUAUAUCAACCCUAAGAUGAACCUAUCACAGUGUUUUCUUGGCAAGAUUCGUUCAAAAGAUGUUUGCCAGUCUGUUGUUUUCCUCUGAGGCUGAUUGAGUGUGCCUUGGCCAGGGUCACCCAGUGGGUUUCAUGGCUGGACAGGGAUUCAAACCCUGGUCUUCAGAGUUGUAGUCCAAUGCUCCAACCAUCCCUUACUUAUUUCAGAAACAGUGCAUUAACUAAGGGCAAAAGAUAUUUGUAAAAAAGCAUAAUGAGCCAUGGGAAUGAACUACAUUUUCAAAGUAACUUUCUAAACCAGUGGCUUCUCUGUUAGUGGAAUGGUGAAUUUGCCACGGGUUUAAUUCUGAACUUUCAGUGAGCUAUGCAAGACAGAAAACUGAUUUUGAGGCUGGAAAAAAUCAUUUAAAGUCCAGACUAAAACUCAGAAUAGAUUCACCAUUAGACUGACAUGGAAGCCAGCAGAUACCAGAAUCCCAAGCUCUGUUAAAGGUAUAGCCUCAGUCCCCACAUCUGUAAAGUCAGAAUGAGAACAUUCGUCUAUUCCAGGCGUGAGCAAACUUGCUCCCUCCAGGAGUUUUGGGCUUCAACUCCCACGAUUCCUAACAGUCAGUAGGUUGUUAGGAAUUGUAGGAGUUGAAGUCCAAAACAUCUGGAGGGAUGAAGUUUGCCAAGGCCUGGUCUAUCAGAAUGUUACUGCCCUUAUAGCUGGAAUAUAGGCAAUUGCCUAUAAGAGAUGAGCCAGUAUGAGUGAAAUAAACCCCUCCAAAGCAAUCUCUCCUAGUGUGAGUCCUAUUCAUGGUAAUGGGUCCAGUCUGGGUGACAUCCUUUGUAUGCUGUGCCCUUAAAUUAGCCACAAGCCUUCUUUAAAUAUCUCCCGAACUUUAGAUUCCCAGCAGCCCAGCUUCCUGAAAACCUCAAGGGAAGUGAUUCCCUGGGAAUUCAGGUCACGGCUGGCGUUUCCCUUGGCUGCGGUGUCUGAAGCCAGGCAGCCUGUUUGCUUAGUAAUCUCCUUGGCUGUGUUAAGUUGUUAGGGGUAACCAAAGGCAGCUGAUUUCUUAAUUGCUUAAGGCAGGAAAUCAGGUCCCUUCAUUGGCUGCCAUAAUUACUUAGAGAGCAAGCCCAAAUUCGGGCCUGAGUUUUUGAUCUUCUCCCUUACAAAAUAUAAGCUUUCCCUUGACAGAGGCAGUGAACAUUUAUCUCAAGAAAGCUGUUUUCUUAAUAAACAAGAAAUUAAUUGGGGAGAAAAAUAGUGAUAUACAAAAUAGUUCACAUUUUUUCUGAAAACAGGUUAGGGAAUUACUUGUGCCAUCUACUGCAUUUUUAUUCUAAAUACAUCCCAUUAAAUCCCAUAGACAAGGAGCAGCCCAUUUGCUUGAUCUUUUAUUAGUUCAUUAAUGUAUUCAUCUAUUGCUUCUUUUACAAAUACAGUACAAACCUCAUACCUGCAGGGGAUACAUUCCUAGACUUUGUGCGGAUAUGUAAAACCAUGAACCCCAUUGAAAAGAUAAACUUCUGGCCCAAGAACACCAUAGAAUUGCAUUGGAGGAAUUAUGAACUGCCGAGAGGACAUAUUUUGUCGCAUACUGAUAAAUGAAACUGCAGAUGCUGGUACCGCAGAUAUGGGAAUUGUACUGUACAUACCUUGCUUUCCCUUGUAAAAUCCAUUCAGGACAACGUAGAAGUUAUGCUAAGUACAACAAGUAGUGUCAACUAUUCAAAUGGGUAAAAUCAGUCUCUUACAAUAAGACCAAAACAGGAUAAAACAAUUACAGUUACCUCACAACCUCUGAGGAUGCCUGCCAUAGAUGUGGGCAAAAUGUCAGGAGAGAAUGCUUCUGGAGCAUAGCCAUACAGCCCGGAAAAUACACAACAACCCAGUGAUUCUGGCCAUGAAAGCCUUUGACAAUACAAUUACUAAUAUGCCUCAAUUAACAAAGCAGGUGUUCCCUGGUCUUUAUUUCUUUAACAGAAACUUUGACAGAAAUAACAUGGAACAAUAGGAUUAGGUUCCUACAGUACAACAAAGGGGAGCACUUCUGCAUGUUUCAGCAAACUAAUCAUUUUGCACAUAUGAACUGAAGCAACCAAGAGGAAGUCUUGCAUAAGAAAAUAAAAUAUUUUGAUUCCUCUAGAAACCACUUGAAAGCUGCUUUCAAAAAUGCUCCUGGUAUUACUUUUCCUUCCAUCAGCCCCACUUUUUAUGACAUCAAUUUUGAUGGCAAAAUGUAUAGAUAGAUACUUUUUCAAACUUCUAAGGUACUUGGCAAAGUAAACUAAUCUGCUUUUCUCUUUCUUUAUGUUUUGCCUACUAAGUGAUUCUGGAGGCAGCUGCUGUUUACCCUGCCUGUUGCAAGUAAGCACAGACAGCUAUAUUAGGAUGACCUAUAGAAUCCCAUUGUUUCCCAGCUCAAUGUUUAUUGCAUCGUUUACUUUAAGCAUACUGCUGCCAUCUGAUACUUAAACUGUCUUUCUCCAAUCUCCCUUCACUAUUUCCCCAAUACAAAUGCUGCAAAAAAAAAAAAAAUCCCAGCUAGACAGAAGACAAGAUAAAUGGAUCUUAACUGGGCUCCCGAAAAAAAGACUUGGUACAAAGCAGAAAAUUUCUUCAUAUACCUGUAUUAGGAAGCAGAUGUUUAGAAAUGAAGCCAUUAUCUGUCAUACACAGUCACAAGUACUGAGUUGAUUUUGGUGGAUGUAGGGUUUUUUGUUUUUGUUUUACAAAAUGAGGUUUGUGUUUGUUUCUAGCAGUGGAUGGUGUUGAUGGGGAGGCUCCAAAUUCCUUUUGGAGAGGUGACAAAUAUCAUUUCCAUAGUAACUGACAUGAUUUGCAAGAUUUAAUCAAAGAAUUGCUGAGAGGUGAACAGUCAUGCAUGCUUUAAGGGGUUGUUGAAGACACCAGAAUUCUUUUCCUACCUUGUAGCAUCCCACUUUCCUCCAAAACGUCCUUCCUGGGCUGUGGUGCAGGCUGAAGAGCAAGCCAGCUGCAACCAGCUGCAAUGAAUCACUCUGACCAGGAGGUCAUGAAUUCGAGGCCUGCUCGGAGCCUAUGUUUGUCUUGUCUUUGUUCUAUGUUAAAAGGCAUUGAAUGUACCCUUCGGGGUAAGAAGGGCAGAAUAUAAAUGCUGUAAAUAAAUAAAUAAAUAUAGUGGCUGGUGGAGAGUAAAGGAUAUCUGACAAACAUAUGGCUGUCUGACUGUAUCCAGAUAUAUAAUGAUGAAGGCAUCUACCAGUAACCUCUGAAAGUCCUGAAGGAUGACAGCAUCAUUGUGCAUCUGGCUGUGGACACAUAACUUCAGCCCUCCUUUUAAAGACAUUUAAAAGAGCCAUGGGGUCACUGAAAACUAAGAAUCCUUAGACCACAACAAUAUUUAUUUCAAUCCACUUUAUGAAGUCCUUCCUUUUUAUUUCUAGGGGUUUUUGUUUUUGGGGGUGGGGAGUUGAUUCAUGUGAGCCUUUCAUACUCCGAGUCAUUUAUCUUCUACAACAGCUACUUAGAGGCAACUUCAGUGUUAAGAAUUUACCCUGAGAUGGACGGGAAAAGAAGCAAGGCGAAGCAGGGCAAGGGACGGGGGAGAAAUGGUUGUGUUUUUAAAAAAAGAAAGAAAAGAAAUCAAAGGGUAUCAAGCCAAAGCACAUGCCACUGCUUGUGUAUCUUAUUCUAUGAUUCUUUGAAGUUUUAAUCUCUGGAAAAGAAAAGCCUUUCAGUUGCUCGGUGGCAAAAACUCAGGAUUGUAACUUUUGAAUCGUGGUUCAUAAACGGAUCUCAUCCAUUUCCUGACAAUUAGUGCUAAGUGAGUUUAAAUUUGAUCUUCCACGCUACUGUCUCAGAUCUCAGGGAGCCGUUCAGCCACCUCUGUCUUUCCCACUUAAUUUUUUUUUGUAUAUUUCACUUUAAAAUACCCACACACGGAUAGUUGAAAACUGACUUCAUUUAUAUGGGAGGAAAAGCAGAGAGCUGUCAAUCACCCCCCAAUUGCCAUUUGGUGGUAUCUCACAGAUUCUUGUCCCAUCCAGGACAGAUAUAAGAUUUCUUUCAAACAUCCUAAUUAAAAUGAAACAAAUGAGAAAAAUAAAAAGUGAAGGUGAUCUAAUUUUUUUUACCCAAAUUGAAAGGCUUUCAGAAGAAGUGUUUUCUACUUUAUACUGCCCAAUUCAGUUACCUAACUCCAUAACACUCUAUUUCUGAUAACAGGUGCUUAGGUUGCCCCAGUUUGAAACAAAAACAUCAUAGAUGAGCUUCAGUUACAACCUAUAAACUAUCUACGGGCCCACUAAAAAAUCCAACAAAUGCUACGUUCAGCAAAGGACAAGAAGGAUCCUCUCACUUCUUUAAAAGUCUACCGUAUACCAUGCAGCUGUGGACAAGUCUAUAUAGAGACCCCCAAAUGCAGCAUUGCCCAGACAUGAAUCAAGGAACAUGAAAGGCCCUGCAGACUCACUCAGCCAGAGAAGUCAGCCAGAGCAGAGCACCUGAUGAACCAACCUGGACACAGCAUAUUAUUUAAGAACACAAAAAUGCUGAACCACUCUAACAACCACCAUGUCAGACCACACAGAGAAGCCACUGAAAUCCACAAGCAUGUAGACUAUUUUCAACAAGAAGUAGAAAACUAUGAGAAUGAACCAAAUCUAGCUACCGGUAUUUUAGCAUCUCUAAAAUCAGGACAAUAAAUAAAGAACAACACUCUGAAAACAGGGAAAUUCCAGGCAUGAAACAAUCAGGGCCAGCUAACACCUCCCAACAAAGGAUUCCCUCAGGCAAGAAGCAGCCAGACCUUGAAGUUGCAAGGCCAUUCAAUGCUAAUCAAGGUGGCCAAUUGGAACAUUAACACUUGCUUCCAACAGACAAGAGUUCUUUCUCCAACCCUGGAGAUUCCACAGACAUAUAAACCUCACUGACCUAGUUUCCAAUAUACCUCACAACCUCUGAGGAUGCCUGCCAUACAUAUGGGCAAAAUGUCAGGAGGGAAUCCUUCUGGAACAUGGCCAUACAGCGAUCCAGAGCUUCCGUUAAUUCAGAUUUAUUAGAAAUGAUAGCUAAAAAUUGACUUCUUAUUCUGAGGCAAUGUGAGAACGCUUUGUUUUCAUAGCACUCAUUCUACAGUACAAUGGUGGUUAGUGGCUUUCUGGCAAGGGAUGCAGUGAAUCUCCUCUUGUCUUCUGUUAUGGACUUAAAUGAAGCUCUUUUAAGUGUUGAAGCCUGCAGAAAAAGCUGGAGCAGAUUUAUCUCACCUCUGACAUAUGCCUCAUCUACACUGACUAUAUAAUGCAGUUUAACUGCAUUAAAUGAGUCUACAUGGCAUUAUGAAACCUAAUUAUAUGGCAGUGUAGAUGGGGCCAUAGAAGCCACUGACCACGUCCUCGGGUCAAGGCCAUGGGAUACUACCUUUAAAGAGUAAUUGGCUAUCAUUGGAGCCUGAAGUCCUGUAAGUACCGUAGUUCAGUGCCAUUAGAAUUGCAAUUUUAAGUAAUAAUGUUACGGUCUUGUUCAGAAAAGCAAUGCACCAGGAUCAUGAUUAGCAUCUUCCUGGAUUCUAUUAUGUUCUAUCCCACUUCCAUAACUGUAUAACUUCAAUAUUACUCUGAACUACAUCUGAAGAAGUGGGUUUAUAGCCACAAAACUUAAGAGUUUGCCUUAAAGGUGCUGCCAUUCUUCUUCCCUCUCCUCCUUCCUUUUUAUUCUGCAAGAGCCUAACACAGCUACUUUUGAAGAGUAGGUCAACACUUAAAGAAACUCUGCUAAUUCAAUGGGUCUACUUUAGUGAUUUAGGGCUAACAAUUGGAUUUAGUGUGAGGGUGUUCCAUUCAUAAGUAAUAUGAACCCCAAAGGGAAGUAGAAAUCUUGAAUUGCUUGUCGAACUAGAAUUGGAUGUUUAAUCUGAGUUACAGUUAAUCAAAUGGAUUACUUUACAGUCUUUGUGCUGAUCUUUGCAACAUUUCAAGACAAAGUGAAGCUGCCUGAUGGUUAUGAAGGUGUUUACUUAGGGCAACAGGUGAAAUAUUAUGCCAAGGAAAGUUUCUGUACUAUUAAGCUUGAUUUUAAAAAAAAAAGAGGGAAAGAAAAGACAAAGCGUAUCUGAGGUGUUAAUUAGAAUCUAGAUUCAGGUGCUAACUUCUUUGAGUGAAAGCGCCUGUUGAGUAAUUGCAGGAAAGGGGCCCAUUUGAGGCAGAGCAGUAAUUAUUGAAUUAGUAGAAAAGUUCAAGUAGAGAUUCAGAUUUCCAAUCAUUACUGGGUUUGCUGAGAAUCAGAACAGCUAAUCCUAGAGGGAUUCAGGUUCUUUCUCACCUGUAGUUGUUGAUAUUGGAGUUCUUGAAGGACUUCUAAGCUCCCAAGAAAGAAAGAAAAACCAUGAAAAUGAACAAAAUCUGACUACCAGUAUUAAAAAAACUCUAAAAUCAGGACAAUGAUUAAAGAACACCACUCAUAAAAUAGGGGAUUCCAGACAGGAAACAAUCAGAGCCAGCUAACACCUCCCAACAAAGGAUUCCCCCUGGUAAGAAGCAGCCAGCCUUUGAAGCUGCAAGGCCAUUCAAUGCUAAUCAAGGCGGCCAAUUGCAACAUUCACACUUGCCUCAAACAGACAAGAGUUCUUUCUCCCACCCUGGACAUUAUUCCACAGAUAUAUAAGCCCCACUUGAUGAGUUUCCAACAGACCUCACAACCUCCGAGGAUGCCUGCCAUAGAUGUGAUUGAAACAUCAGGGGAGAAUGCUUCUGGAACAUGGCCAGACAGCCUGGAAAACUCACAGCAACCCAGUGAUUCCGGCCAUGAAAGCCUUCGACAACACAAGAAAGAAAAACCUCAGAUAUUCCAGACUUAUCUUUUUAAAAAAUAACAAAUUUUGGUGCAGGCUGAAACCUUGGGGGUGAUGACCGUCACCCCGGCUCUCAAGUUGAAUUGAAAGCGCAGCGGAGAGUUCCGCAGAUCACUCGCCAAAGGAACGGGACGGGACCGCAGCAGACUAUUAUUAAAAGAUCCUUUUUUUCUUCACUUUCCCCUUCCCUGAACUAUGUAACAAAUCCCCCAAUAAAAGUAGCAUUCAUUUUAACAGUAACACUCCCUAUCUGGUUAUUUUGUAUCUUUCUCUGACUCCUUCCUUUGCAUGCAAUUUCUCUCUCUCUCCCGUCCCUUUAACUCCGGCUGAGGUUUCUCCGCCAUAGAUUAAUAUGGCGGACGAUACAAAUCGGCUCAUAUCUCUAUCAAAAUUACCCCUAGAACGCUCCUCUUUUAGUCCUAACCCUUUCUAAGGCUCCUGACUCGAAGACCACCAGCGGAACCGAAAUCGGUCCAGUUCUCGGCACCUCAACAGCUGACUGUCAAACGGGACUGACUGCUCCUUUCAAGCCAAACUGCUGCCUUAUCCCGGACUUUCCUCUCCCCGCGGCCCGCGGAAUGGUUUUAAGAGAUCCCUAGCCCCUUUCUGUGAACUGGGGAUGGGGGGAUCGCUCUCUCGCUGGGGAAACAUAGUUCUCCAAGAACCCUUACCCUCUCUACAGCUGCCAGGGGGUGCCCGGACGGGUGCCCUCCACGUUUCACUCAUACUUUCAUAAUUUUAUGAAGGAGAAGAACACUCUUCCCCAGACCUAUCCCUGGACUUAUGAAAUCUUAUACUCCCAAAGACUAUAACCCACAUGUGCCCCUUCUUAUGUACCUGGACACCCUCAUGACCCACUGUUGUAUGAAUUUCUAAUCGUUGGGCUAACUUCAUGAAUUGUGAAAUCAUGCUGCUAGAACUCCACUCUUAUGAAUUUCCAUAUUGGGUUCCCCAGAUGUUGUGAACUUCGUUCUUAUCAAAUGUUUUCAAUUGUUUAUAUCAUUCAUGAUUCCCCUUUAUGCAAUGUCACCCACCUUUAUGGAUUCUCCUUUAUUUCCUUGAAAUCUAUCUAUCUGCCUAUAUGUAUUUGUACUCUUUGGGAUCCCCGGAAAAUAUGUAUUUUUCCCAGCAGGGUUUAUGUUCCAACUUUAUUUUAAUUUUCAUUCUAUCCCAUAUAAUUGUCAAAUCAUGAAAUCAAAUGGGAAAUAUUAUGACCCCAACGUGAACCCUAGCCCCCAUGAUCCAGACCUCCCUUCCCAAAAACAAAAGGAUAAUCUGCCACAGUUUAAUCCAAUCUCAUUCCGAUCGCAUGGACAAUAUAGGGCUUGAGUCACCAAAUUCCUAAAGGUGAUUCGACCCCAAGGCAAACAUUGUCAUAUCCCAGGCCAGGACGCCUCAGGAAGGCACCCUGUGGGGCCCGUCAAUGACGGCUCAUCACUACCCUUCUUUACUUCCCCCUGACACCCCAAGGCAUAUCUAACAUCUGUGAACGUGACAGGACCCCGGACAUCCUUGAUGGGUGCCAUUAAUUCCUUUAGAAAUCGGCCGGGCCAGGAUUAAUCUGAUAUUUCCUGUCCGGUCACUUCAUUGUUUCAAUAGCUCCCGCCUCCUCCUCUCUGAUUGGCCCGAGUGGGGACAAAAAGCGGCUCCCCAUUGGGCCAGCAAAGCAAGGCGGGAAACGAAAGCCCGCCUCGUUCAACCUCCCAGCCUAUCCGCGAUCAGAUGGGCGGGGGAGCGGGGCGGGAAAUUCAAAGGGCUGUCAGACCGAAACAUUGUAUAAAUAUGGCUUUAUUUGAAACAUAUGUUACGCUAGUAGAUUGAAUGAUCGCUACUAGUGUCCAUUCAGCUGAAUCGCUCAAUAAAGACUCCUUGGCGGA